rnacentral:tmRNA from 1 species
GGGGAUGUAAAGGUUUCGACGGGGACUGUGAAUCUCAGUAAGCGGGUCGUGGUGCAGCACCACGCGAAAAGCUGCAAACUUUUCAAAAUAAACGACAACAAUACUGUUGCUGUUGCGGCCUAAUUAAGGCUGCCGUCUUUGCAGGGAGCACCGCGGCCCUGACAAAGGCGUCGAUUAGCGGUGAACAUGAACGCAGGCGCGUUCCUGCCUGCGUCACGACUUGGGAACUACCGAAGCGUAUCGCCUGAUCGCCGGAGAUACGACGGGGGAAUCCGCAAAGACGGUCUGCACCCGGAGAAAGCUGUGACAAGUGGUUUUCGGACAGGAGUUCGAUUCUCCUCAUCUCCACCA